rnacentral:rRNA from 1 species
AGGGUGUAAAACGCUGCAGACUUGGUGUUGGAAGUCCUUUGGGGGCAUUCAGUGCCGGAGAGAAGUUGUUAAGUCUGCUACUUGGGAGUACGUCCGCAAGGAUGAAACUUAAAGGAAUUGGCGGGGGAGCACCGCAACGGGAGGAGCGUGCGGUUUAAUUGGAUUCAACACCGUAAAACUCACCAGGGAAGACUGUUACAUGAAAGCCGAGAUGAAGACUCUGCUAGAUUUUUCAGAGAGGAGGUGCAUGGCGUCAGUGACU